rnacentral:lncRNA from 1 species
GGGAGCAAUACGGGAAAAGAUCUGGCCUGGACUUAGGCUACGAGAACUUGUUGACAAGUGAAAGCUUGGUAGAACCGCGGCCCGGUUUGUGUGUUUGUUUAUUUUUUACAAAGUGACUUCAUAUUUACUCUGGACCUCGUCUGUGCCCUUUGGGGGGACAUCGGCUCUGAUCAGCGCGCCAGCAGCCGCCGUCCGAGCUGCGGGGAAACGGGGCGCGCCCUCUGGGGGGCGAGUGGCAGUGUCCGAGCUAAUUUCCUCCGUAACCUUUAAACUCUCGCUGGAAGCCGUGGCGGCGGUUGAUCACGUGAGGCGAGCCCUGGGCUGCUGGGGAAGAAUUUCCUCCGCGGGGAGCCGGGGACGGGGACGGCUGCCUGGCGAGGGACGGCCCCGCGCCAGGGGACGCGAACCUGCGCGGGCGGGGCCGAGAGCGCGGAGGCCCGGGGCGCGGCCCGGGCCGGACUCCCCGGGGGACUGCGCAGGAAGAGGUCGUCUCUGCAACCUGCGAGCGGGGG